UUACGAGGUCAGGACACUGUGAGGAUUGACAGAUUGAAAGCUCUUUCUUGAUUCAGUGGGUGGUGGUGCAUGGCCGUUCUUAGUUGGUGGAGUGAUUUGUCUGGUUAAUUCCGUUAACGAACGAGACCUUAACCUGCUAAAUAGUCACGCGAACCGGUCCGCAAGGGCUCAAAGUUCGCGGCUCGACUUCUUAGAGGGACUAUUCGCACCCGCCAGCGAAUGGAAGUUUGAGGCAAUAACAGGUCUGUGAUGCCCUUAGAUGUUCUCGGCCGCACGCGCGUUACACUGACGGAGUCAACGAGCGUUUUUCCUUGCCCGAUAGGGCCGGGUAACCUCCUGAAACUCCGUCGUGAUGGGGGUAGAUCAUUGCAAUUAUUGAUCUUGAACGAGGAAUUCCUAGUAAGCGCGAGUCAUCAACUCGCGCUGAUUACGUCCCUGCCCUUUGUACACACCGCCCGUCGCUCCUACCGAUUGAACGGUCCGGCGAGAACUCCGGAUGGUC
rnacentral:rRNA from 1 species